UAACGCGAAGAACCUUACCUGGCCUUGACAUCCACGGAAUUCGGCAGAGAUGCCUUAGUGCCUUCGGGAACCGUGAGACAGGUGCUGCAUGGCUGUCGUCAGCUCGUGUUGUGAAAUGUUGGGUUAAGUCCCGCAACGAGCGCAACCCUUAUCCUUUGUUGCCAGCGAUUCGGUCGGGAACUCAAAGAAGACUGCCGGUGAUAAACCGGAGGAAGGUGGGGAUGACGUCAAGUCAUCAUGGCCCUUACGGCCAGGGCUACACACGUGCUACAAUGGCGCAUACAAAGAGAAGCGACCUCGCGAGAGCAAGCGGACCUCAUAAAGUGCGUCGUAGUCCGGAUCGGAGCCUGCAACUCGACUCCGUGAAGUCGGAAUCGCUAGUAAUCGUAGAUCAGAAUGCUACGGUGAAUACGUUCCCGGGCCUUGUACACACCG
rnacentral:rRNA from 1 species